rnacentral:lncRNA from 1 species
AGCUUCCAGAAGUGGAAAGAUUUUUAAAUAAGUCUUUUAACUUUUUGCCUGUGGAUACAGCUGCGUUGACACAAAGCCACAUUUGAGGCAUGAUGUCUCGGAAGCCUGGCACCACGGACUGUUUUUCUACUGGGACCCAUAAUUGCUGCCUUUUAAGAGGUGUCCUGUGUUCAGUUUUAUCAAUGUGGUGCUUGAACCGGACUUUCAGCUGACUCCCAAAAGGAAAUAGUUUUAAAAGGAAGAAUUUUAAGUCUGCCAAGAGCCAGAUAAUGGCAUAGCACAGAGAAAAGCCAGGGUUUUGUGGUUUGUAUAUUAAAAUACAAGUCUCUUAAUGCCUCAAAACAGCAGCCUCCAGAAAAUGGGAAGUUUAAUAGAUGAGGCUA